GGCCGAGUUUUCGCUUUUAUAACGGUUAGGCGAACAACUGGGCCUGGUACUAGUUGUCUGCGCAUGCGUCAGUCGUUCGUCAGAUUCUGACGAAUGGAUAUUCUUGUUCACUUUCGUGACAUUUAUAUUCGUGUACUAUCGUGUACUAGAAGUCAGUUCCCGUUUUAUCAUUAUUGGAAUCGAUUGGAAUGGCUCUUAGUUGAAGCUUCUCUCUUCUCUGAAGCUUAUUCUGAAGACUGAACAACAAGGGAAGAGGUAUAAAGCUUUGUCAAGCUUGUUAAGGAUCUAGGAGCAAUGGCUAAUAUCCAGCUAUCCCAACAGUGCUCCUCUUGGCUAUACUAACGGACGAGACUGGACAGUUUAAGGACUGGAGUAUGACCUGCUCAUUCGAGCGUUGCUGGGUAGCUCAGAGACAUCAAGAGAAUCUACGUUUUCUCAAGCAAAAUUUAACUGAGUUACGAGUUGGGGCCUAGAAUCACAGAAGUCCAGCAGCCUGCUAAAUCUUUUUGAAAUGUAAUUUGAAGGCAUUCAAUCAUCCUGAAGUUGCCCUGGGUCACUGUAAUUGUGCUGCAGCACAACUGGCAACUCCCCAGGCCUUUGUGUGAAGCAGCUCCCUAUGUGCAUCUUUUGUGUACUCACUCUGUGCAUUUUCUGUGUACAAAUUUCGAUUAUUGAUUUAUUAAAUAUUUUUGCCGACCACAAA